UUGACAUUAUUCUUGAUGUGGCUUAACGUCAGGAGUGAGGGUUAGGGAGGAUUCCUCCUCCCCUUGGUGUCUUAGUAAGCCUGGAAGCUAAUCACUAAGAGUAUCACCAGUAUGAUGACUACCUUCAUCAUAACCCUUUCCUUAUU
rnacentral:sRNA from 14 species